rnacentral:rRNA from 1 species
AAGAAAGUUAUUUAAGGGCGUAUGGGGGAUGCCUAGGCUCUCAGAGGCGAUGAAGGACGUGAUAAGCUGCGAAAAGCCCCGGGGAUCGGCAAAUACGAAUCGAUCCGGGGAUCUCCGAAUGGGACAACCCACUUAGUUGAAGACUAAGUAUCCCGAGCGAUCGGGAGGCGAACCCGCUGAACUGAAACAUCUAAGUAAGCGGAGGAAGAGAAAACAAUAGUGAUUCCGUAAGUAGUGGCGAGCGAACGCGGAACAGCCCAAACCAAUUCCGUUACGGCGGGACUGGGGUUGUAGGACCACGACAUGGUCGCAAAAGCGAAACAGAACGGCCUGGGAAGGCCGGCCGCAGAAGGUGAAAGCCCUGUAUGUGCAAGUUUUUGCGCCCUAGUGGUAUCCUGAGUAGGGCGGGGUCGGAGACGCCCCGUCUGAACCAGCCGGCACCAUCCGGUAAGGCUAAAUACUACUGAGAGACCGAUAGUGAACCAGUACUGUGAAGGAAAGGUGAAAAGAACCGUGAACAACGGAGUGAAAAAGAACCUGAAACCAUACGCCUACAAGCGGUCGGAGCCCUUAUUGGGGUGACGGCGUGCCUUUUGCAUAAUGAGCCUACGAGUUGCACCUCAUUGGCCAGGUUAAGUACUUCAGGUACGCAGCCGGAGCGAAAGCGAGUCUUAACAGGGCGCCGAAGUCAAUGGGGGCAGACGCGAAACUUUGUGAUCUACCCAUGGCCAGGUUGAAGGUGCGGUAAAACGCACUGGAGGACCGAACCAAUAAACGUUGAAAAGUUUUUGGAUGAGCUGUGGGUAGGGGUGAAAGGCUAAUCAAACUGAGAAAUAGCUCGUACUCCCCGAAAUGUUUUUAGGAACAGCCUCGAGGUCGAGUCUAUGAGAGGUAGAGCUACCGAUUGGACUAGGGGGAGUCACAUCCUACCAAAUCCAGACGAACUCCGAAUGCUCAUAGAUAUACUCGGGAGUGAGGGCUGGGGUGCUAAGGUCCCAGUCCGAGAGGGAAAGAACCCGGACCAACAGCUAAGGUCCCCAAAUCUACGCUAAGUUGAACUAAGGUGGUCCAGCUGCCGAGACAGCCAGGAUGUUGGCUUGGAAGCAGCCAUUCAUUUAAAGAGUGCGUAACAGCUCACUGGUCGAGCGGCAGGGCAUCGAUAAUAAACGGGCAUCAAGCGUGGUACCGAAGCUUUGGAUUUGUGCAUUUGUGUACAAGUGGUAGGGGAGCAUUCCAAACAGCGGCGAAGGGGAACUGUAAGGUUUUCUGGAGCGUUUGGAAAAGCAAAUGUAGGCAUAAGUAACGAUAAUGCGGGCGAGAAACCCGCACACCGAUAGACUAAGGUUUUCCCGGCCAUGCUAAUCAGCCGGGAGUUAGUCGGGACCUAAGGAGAACCCGAAAGGGGCAUUCGAUGGACAACUGGUUAAUAUUCCAGUACCGGCGAUAUGGAGUGAUGGGGAGACGGAGUAGUGAAAGGCCUGCGCACUGACGGAAUAGUGCGUUUAAGCAAUUAGGUAUAGGGCCGGUAGGCAAAUCCGCCGGCCUUGCUGAACUGCGAAAGUACUCAGCGGCUCCGGCCAAUGAGAUAAUGGCCCUAACCAGACUUCCAAGAAAAUCCUCUAAGCGUUAAUCCGUAUUGCCGCCCGUACCGUAAACCGACACAGGUAGUCAAGGAGAGAAUCCUGAGGUGCUCGAGUGAGUCAUGGCUAAGGAACUCGGCAAAAUGGCCCUGUAACUUCGGGAGAAGGGGCGCCUACUCAGCAAUGAGAGGCCGCAGUGAAAAGGCCCAGGCGACUGUUUAACAAAAACACAUGUCUUUGCGAAAUCGAAAGAUGAGGUAUAAGGACUGACACCUGCCCGGUGCCGGAAGGUUAAGGGGGGACGUUAGGGGCGACCCAAAGCGUUGAACUGAAGCCCCGGUAAACGGCGGCCGUAACUAUAACGGUCCUAAGGUAGCGAAAUUCCUUGUCGGGUAAGUUCCGACCUGCACGAAUGGUGUAACGAUCUGGGCACUGUCUCAGCCAUGAGCUCGGUGAAAUUGUAGUAGCGGUGAAGAUGCCGCUUACCCGCAACGGGACGGAAAGACCCCAUGAACCUUUACUAUAGCUUUACAUUGACUUUGGGUAAGGGAUGUGUAGGAUAGGCCGGAGGCUGAGAAGCGGUGUCGCCAGGCAUCGCGGAGCCGUCCUUGAAAUACGGCCCUUUCCUUAUCUGGAGUCUAAUCCGCCAGAUGGCGGAGACAUUGUAUGGUGGGUAGUUUGACUGGGGUGGUCGCCUCCAAAAGAGUAACGGAGGCUUUCAAAGGUACCCUCAGCACGCUUGGUAACCGUGCGCAGAGUGCAAUAGCAAAAGGGUGCUUGACUGUGAGGCCAACAAGCCGAUCAGGGUCGAAAGACGGAUAUAGUGAUCCGGUGGUUCCGCAUGGAAGGGCCAUCGCUCAAAGGAUAAAAGGUACUCUGGGGAUAACAGGCUGAUCUCCCCCAAGAGCUCACAUCGACGGGGAGGUUUGGCACCUCGAUGUCGGCUCGUCACAUCCUGGGGCUGGAGAAGGUCCCAAGGGUUCGGCUGUUCGCCGAUUAAAGUGGCACGCGAGCUGGGUUCAGAACGUCGUGAGACAGUUCGGUCCCUAUCUGUUGUGGGCGUAAGAAGCUUGAGAGGAGCUGACCUUAGUACGAGAGGACCGGGUUGGACGAACCUCUGGUGUAUCUGUUGUGCCGCCAGGUGCAUUGCAGAGUAGCUACGUUCGGACGAGAUAAGCACUGAAAGCAUCUAAGUGCGAAACUCGCCUCAAGAUGAGGCUUCUAUACAGGGUCGUCAGAGACUAUGACGUCGAUAGGUUGCAAGUGUAAAGGCAGAAAUGUCAAAGCUGAGCAAUACUAAUUACCCGGAGACUUUCUUUU